rnacentral:rRNA from 1 species
UACGGAGGGUGCAAGCGUUAAUCGGAAUUACUGGGCGUAAAGCGCGCGUAGGUGGUUUGAUAAGCGAGAUGUGAAGCCCCGGAACUACGUGGAACGGCAUUUCGAACUGUCAGGCUAGAGUAUGGUAGAGGAGUGUGGAAUUUCCUGUGUAGCGGUGAAAUGCGUAGAUAUAGGAAGGAACACCAGUGGCGAAGGCGGCACUCUGGACCAAUACUGACACUGAGGUGCGAAAGCGUGGGGAGCAAACAGGAUUAGAUACCCCGUAGUCC